GAUGAACGCUAGCGGCAGGCCUAACACAUGCAAGUCGAGGGGUAACAUGGAGUGCUUGCACUCUGAUGACGACCGGCGCACGGGUGCGUAACGCGUAUGCAACCUACCUCUUACUGGGGAUAGCCUUUAGAAAUGAAGAUUAACACCCCAUAAUAUACAGAGUUCGCCUGAACAUUGUAUUAAAGGUUACGGUAAGAGAUGGGCAUGCGUCCUAUUAGCUAGUUGGUAUGGUAACGGCAUACCAAGGCAACGAUAGGUAGGGCCCUGAGAGGGGGAUCCCCCGACACUGGUACUGAGACACGGACCAGACUCCUACGGGAGGCAGCAGUGAGGAAUAUUGGACAA
rnacentral:rRNA from 1 species